rnacentral:rRNA from 1 species
UGGGGAAUUUUCCGCAAUGGGCGAAAGCCUGACGGAGCAAUACCGCGUGAGGGAUGAAGGCCUUUGGGUUGUAAACCUCUUUUAUCAAGGAGGAAGUUCUGACGUGUACUUGAUGAAUAAGCAUCGGCUAACUCCGUGCCAGCAGCCGCGGUAAGACGGAGGAUGCAAGUGUUAUCCGGAAUCACUGGGCGUAAAGCGUCUGUAGGUGGUUUAAAAAGUCCACUGUUAAAGAUUGAAGCUUAACUUCAAAAAUGCCGUGGAAACUUUUAAACUUGAGUAUGAUAGGGGUAGAGGGAAUUUCCAGUGGAGCGGUGAAAUGCGUAGAUAUUGGAAAGACCACCAAUGGCGAAGGCACUCUACUGGGCCAUUACUGACACUGAGAGACGAAAGCUAGGGGAGCAAAUGG